rnacentral:rRNA from 1 species
AGAGUUUGAUCAUGGCUCAGGAUGAACGCUGGCGGCGUGCUUAAUACAUGCAAGUCGAACGAAGAGCCUUUGUAGCAAUACGGAGGUUUCUUAGCGGCGAACGGGUGAGUAACGCGUUGGUGACCUACCCCAAAGUGUGGGAUAACAGUUCGAAAGAACUGCUAAUACCGCAUGUGGUUAUCGGGCUUAGAAACCGAUAACUAAAGGAGCAAUUCGCUUUGGGAGGGACCUGCGUCCCAUCAGCUAGUUGGUGAGGUAAUGGCUCACCAAGGCUACGACGGGUAGGGGACCUGAGAGGGUGACCCCCCACAAUGGAACUGAAACACGGUCCAUACACCUACGGGUGGCAGCAGUAGGGAAUAUUGCACAAUGGGCGAAAGCCUGAUGCAGCAACGCCGCGUGCACGAUGAAGGCCUUCGGGUCGUAAAGUGCUUUUCUGGGAGAUGAGAAAGGACAGUAUCCCAGGAAUAAGUCUCGGCUAACUACGUGCCAGCCGCCGCGGUAAUA